AUUGAACGCUGGCGGCAUGCCUUACACAUGCAAGUCGAACGGCAGCACGGGAGCAAUCCUGGUGGCGAGUGGCGAACGGGUGAGUAAUAUAUCGGAACGUGCCCGGUCGUGGGGAUAACGUAGCGAAAGCUACGCUAAUACCGCAUACGAUCUAUGGAUGAAAGCGGGGGAUCGCAAGACCUCGCGCGAUUGGAGCGGCCGAUAUCAGAUUAGGUAGUUGGUGAGGUAAAGGCUCACCAAGCCGACGAUCUGUAGCUGGUCUGAGAGGACGACCAGCCACACUGGGACUGAGACACGGCCCAGACUCCUACGGGAGGCAGCAGUUGGGGAAUUUUGGACAAUGGGCGCAAGCCUGAUCCAGCAAUGCCGCGUGCAGGAUGAA
rnacentral:rRNA from 1 species